rnacentral:rRNA from 1 species
ACUACGGGAGGCUGCAGUGGGGAAUAUUGCACAAUGGGCGCAAGCCUGAUGCAGCCAUGCCGCGUGUGUGAAGAAGGCCUUCGGGUUGUAAAGCACUUUCAGCGGGGAGGAAGGCGGUGAGGUUAAUAACCUCAUCGAUUGACGUUACCCGCAGAAGAAGCACCGGCUAACUCCGUGCCAGCAGCCGCGGUAAUACGGAGGGUGCAAGCGUUAAUCGGAAUUACUGGGCGUAAAGCGCACGCAGGCGGUCUGCCAAGUCGGAUGUGAAAUCCCCGGGCUCAACCUGGGAACUGCAUUCGAAACUGGCAGGCUAGAGUCUUGUAGAGGGGGGUAGAAUUCCAGGUGUAGCGGUGAAAUGCGUAGAGAUCUGGAGGAAUACCGGUGGCGAAGGCGGCCCCCUGGACAAAGACUGACGCUCAGGUGCGAAAGCGUGGGGAGCAAACAGGAUUAGAUACCCCGGUAGUC